GGAGCUAUAGCUCAAUCGGCAGAGCACACCUCUUAUAAGGGUAAGGUUAUGAGUUCGAGUCUCAUUAGUUCCACCA
rnacentral:tRNA from 1 species